GACGAACGCUGGCGGCGUGCUUAACACAUGCAAGUCGAACGGGCCUUGUCCCCUUUUUUUUUGGGGGUGGGGUUAGUGGCGAACGGGUGAGUAACACGUGAGUAACCUGCCCCUCACUUCUGGAUAACCGCUUGAAAGGGUGGCUAAUACGGGGUGUUCUGGCCUGCUCGCAUGGGUGGGUUUGGAAAGAUUCGACCGGUUUUGGUUGUUUUGGUGGGGGAUGGGCUCGCGGCCUAUCAGCUUGUUGGUGGGGUGAUGGCCUGCCAAGGCUUUGACGGGUAGCCGGGCUGAGAGGGUGGGCGGUCACACUGGGACUGAGACACGGCCCAGACUCCUACGGGAGGCAGCAGUGGGGAAUAUUGCACAAUGGGCGCAAGCCUGAUGCAGCGACGCCGCGUGAGGGAUGGAGGCCUUCGGGUUGGGAACCUCUUUCGCCAGUGAAGAAGGUCCUGCUCUUUGUGGUGGGGUUGACGGUAGCUGGGUUAAUGAAGCGCCGGCUAACUACGUG
rnacentral:rRNA from 1 species